UCCAGAAGCCACUGAGACCGUCACUCCAGAAGCCACUGAGACCGUCACUCCAGAAGCCACUGAGACCAACUUCACUCCAGAAGCCACUGAGAUCACCGUCACUCCAGAAGCCACUGAGACCAACUUCACUCGAGAAGCCACUGAGACCAUCGUCACUCCAGAAGCCACUGAGACCACAGGCUCAUCAAAAGCCACAAGACCCCAGGGCCAGAAGGCAAAAAAAAGACAAAAUCCAGUCCAACAGAGGGUAGCCAGCAAGAUGAAGCCAAAAAAAAAAGUAUGAGUGUCCAGAAUGCUGUUGGAGAGUGAGGCAAAACAACUUUGACUACUCCAAGGUUUUGAAAAGAAGAGUGAGAGAGGGAACAGAGGAGGUCCUCAUUUGUUGGGUUCCAUGCAAGACCUGACUUCUAAAGCUAUACAGAUCCACUUUGGGAACUGGAAACCCUUAAAGCUCACCUUCACCUGGAAAUGAGAGAAUGGGUAUAUGGUCUCGGUGACUUGACAGAGGAUGCUACCUAUGGGCUCAACAGUCUCAUCAAUCGGAGGUCACUCAGAAGUCAACACAGACAGGCUGUAAAUGCAUACAGCAGUAUAGGCGCUUUCGAUAACAUUGAGGACAGGACCGGUGCA